UACGUAGGUGGCAAGCGUUGUCCGGAUUUAUUGGGUUUAAAGGGUGCGUAGGCGGUCUUAUAAGUCAGUGCUGGAAUAUCCCGGCUUAACCGGGAGGGUGGCAUUGAUACUGUAGGACUUGAGUAAAGUUGAGGUUGGCGGAAUUGACGGUGUAGCGGUGAAAUGCUUAGAUAUCGUCAAGAACACCUAUUGCGAAGGCAGCUAACUAAGCUUUAACUGACGCUGAGGCACGAAAGUGUGGGGAUCAAACAGG
rnacentral:rRNA from 1 species